CUCUUCCUCUCCAAAACCCACGACCAUAAAACCCACAAAACCUACCCACAACCCCCAUUGCUUGGAGAAAGCCAUUGCCGGAAAAAGCUUAUGGAAGUCAUGCCGAAGAAGCCCCAUGGAAGCUAUGGUCGGUAAAGUUGAAGCCACCUCCAAGAAACUCCCGUAAAAAUCAUUUCUCUCUAGGUUUUGGGUUUUGGUGCUUUUGGAAAAACCACACUUAAUUACUUCCCAAGGAAAUGUCGCAUCGAAGAGGAAGAGUACAAAUAGUGUCUCCAGAAGAUGAGUUGGACAAUCUACAACAACUUUUAGACAUACAACAUGUUGCAACUACUACUCCUAGUAGUUCUUAUCCUUCUGAUUCUUCAGAUCCUUCUAUUGUUGGUUCAUCCUCUAGCAAAAAGAGGACACGUGGCCCAACACGUAACUUAGAUUUACUUAGUAUGAAACCCGGGGAAAAAAAAAACUACACGAUUCAAUACCAGAGGGCAAGUUGUUUAUGAUGGAAAAGGGAAAAGAUUGUCAAGCUAUAUGGGAACAUUGGUGCGAUCUCAACACAAUGUACCCAUCCAAGUUCAAGAUUGGAAUCAUGUUAGUGAAGAUGUGAAGGAAAAGAUUUGGGCCUUAGUAUUGGAAAAAUAUGAACUAGAAGAAACAUGUAAGAGCUACAUUCUUCAAUGUUGUGGAAAUUUGUUUAGAAGCUAUAGAAAUAAAAUGAAGGCCAAGUAUUAUAACCCUUAUAAUACAGAUGAGGAGAGAUUGUGCCAUCGACCUCCACACUUAUCCGAUGAUGAUUGGAGGUGGCUCAUCCACUUUUGGGGUACACCUGAGACCAAGGAUAUCUCAGAAAAAAAACAAGGCAAAUAGGGCAAAGCAAGUGAUAAAGCAUACAUCGGGAUCAAAAAGUUAUGCUCAAAUUCGAUAUGAACAAGUUGGAAAUUUAUUAUUAAUAUGAUUUGUUUGUACAUGAAUAAUUCAUCAUAAAUAACUCAAUUUUUUUACUUGUAAGAAUAGGCACAAAAGAAGGAGGAUCGAAGUGAGCCCAAUAGAAUUGACAUGUUUGCCCUGACACACACAAGAAAAUAUGGGACGUUUGUUGAUGAUCAUUCUAAGGAGAUUAUGGAUUAAUUUCAACAAUUACUAUCACAACCUGAAAGGACAUCUUCUUCUACUUCUGCAUCAUCUGGAGCAUCUCAUCUGUAUCAUCUACAUUUGUAGUAUCUACAUAUGUAGAUGAGAUAUAUACUCAAGUCAUGGGUCCAGAGAGGAAUGAUCGUGCUCGAGGGUAUGGAUUUGGUCCUACUCCUACCUCAGUCUUUGGUUCUACUAGUAGAAGGCGAUCAAGAGCUAUUCUUUCAAUACAACUUGAAAACGCCCAAGAGAUGCUAAUAACUGCAGAACAAAAGUUUACAACUGCAACUGAAGAACUCUCACAUGUGAAAGAAACAUUUGAAGAGAGGUUGAUAGAAGUUCAAAGGAAGACACGAGAAGAAGUGAAAGAAGAGUUUGAAGAAAAAAUGAUGGAAAUGCAAAGAAAAAUGCAAGCACAAAUUCAAGAAUAAAUUAUGCAAAUGAUGCAACAAUUUCAGCAAAAGCAAUAGAAAUUUGAAGAUUUUGCUACAUCUUUA